rnacentral:ncRNA from 1 species
CACACGUGACACGGGUGCUCCGCGUAGGCGGGGCUGAGAUGCCGCAGCAGCUAGCGAGUGACAUGGACUCGCUCAGUGCUGCAUCGGCGAACCGUCGAACCUGAUCCGGAUAAUGCCGGCGAUAAGGGAGGAAUCAUGAGCGCGAC